rnacentral:lncRNA from 1 species
CCAGGCUGCAGAAUUUGGCCAUCCUCAAACACCACCUUUAAUGGCAAAGGAGGGAUGGGAAAACUCCUGAAGACCAGGUAGCCAUGGAGUGCUACAUUUCUGGAUGGAAAGGGGACCACACAGGAUUCACAACUGGGCUCCUCUUGCUGUGUUGGAGGGAGAUGUUUCACCUGAGCACCAUGUUUCACAUGGCAGUGGGGCAAGGCACUGAGGCUGUGUGGCAUGGCACCACAGGGUGGCCACUGGUCCCUGAGUCGGCAGACCUGGCUCUCUUUUCCCUGCCAUGCUGACUUCAUGUUUAUGGCUAAGAAGCCUCUCCCAGGGAGCAGCUGAGCUUCAGGGGCAUUCCUGGAGCGUCCAGGAGAGCAAUAUGGCCCUUUGCUGGUGGAGAACCUGAGACCCUCAAGGAGAAAGUGAAGAAAAUUCUCUCUGCAUACAGACCCCUUCCCAUUUUCCCAUUCUGGGUUGACUAUCCUCCCUCAUAGAUGUGCUCAUGAGUCUUGGAAAUUCUCUUGACUCA